UCUCAGUUCGGAUCGCAGGCUGCAACCCGCCUGCGUGAAGUCGGAAUCGCUAGUAAUCGCGGAUCAGCAUGCCGCGGUGAAUACGUUCCCGGGCCUUGUACACACCGCCCGUCACACCAUGAGAGUCGGGAACACCCGAAGUCCGUAGCCUAACCGCAAGGGGGCGCGGCCGAAGGUGGGUUCGAUAAUUGGGGUGAAGUCGUAACAAGGUAUC
rnacentral:rRNA from 1 species